rnacentral:rRNA from 1 species
AUUGAACGUUGGCGGCAGGCUUAACACAUGCAAGUCGAGCGGGGUGAUGGUGCUUGCACUAUCACUUAGCGGCGGACGGGUGAGUAAUGCUUAGGAAUCUGCCUAUUAGUGGGGGACAACAUCUCGAAAGGGAUGCUAAUACCGCAUACGUCCUACGGGAGAAAGCAGGGGAUCACUUGUGACCUUGCGCUAAUAGAUGAGCCUAAGUCGGAUUAGCUAGUUGGUGGGGUAAAGGCCUACCAAGGCGACGAUCUGUAGCGGGUCUGAGAGGAUGAUCCGCCACAAGGGGACGGGGGCACGGCCCAGACCCCUACGGGAGGCAGCAGUGGGGAAUAUUGGACAAUGGGGGGAACCCUGAUCCAGCCAUGCCGCGUGUGUGAAGAAGGCCUUAUGGUUGUAAAGCACUUUAAGCGAGGAGGAGGCUCUUUUGGUUAAUACCCAAGAUGAGAGGACGUUACUCGCAGAAUAAGCACCGGCUAACUCUGUGCCAGCCGCCGCUGUAA